UUUCCGUAGGUGAACCUGCGGAAGGAUCAUUAGUGAAUAAACUUGUGUGGGUUGUUGCUGGCCUCCUCGGAGGUAUGUGCACACCUGCCGUCGUUUCAUUCAAUCCACUCCCACCUGUGCACUCUCUGUAGGCCAAACCAUCAAACUUUCAGGUCCUUCUGAAGGGCCUGGCGUGAGGAACUGCUCCGGCUUUCCUUGGAUGGGUAUGGUCUAUGUUUUUAUCAACACUGUAUGUAACCGAAUGUCUGUCUUGGGCUCUAUUAUGACCCAUAAAACCUUAUACAACUUUCAACAACGGAUCUCUUGGCUCUC
rnacentral:misc_RNA from 1 species